UACGAAGGGGGCUAGCGUUGCUCGGAAUCACUGGGCGUAAAGCGCACGUAGGCGGCCUCUUCAGUCGGUGGUGAAAUCCUGGAGCUCAACUCCAGAACUGCCUUCGAUACUGGGAGUCUCGAGUCCGAGAGAGGUGAGUGGAACUGCGAGUGUAGAGGUGAAAUUCGUAGAUAUUCGCAAGAACACCAGUGGCGAAGGCGGCUCGCUGGCUCGGUACUGACGCUGAGGUGCGAAAGCGUGGGGAGCAAACAGG
rnacentral:rRNA from 1 species